CCCCGGUGGCAUAUAAGCAAACCAUACAUUGCUAGAGACCCAUAGGAAAUUGAGAGCUCUCAUUGGUCCUAUUACAUUUGUGAUAACAUGAUAAUCUUAUCAAUAUGACAACAUGAUUAUCAAUAUUUUCAAAUGAAAACUAACAAAUAACAAACUAACACUAAUGAAAAAUGCUUUUUCUAGUUCAUACAUGAAUACAUGAUAUAAGUUCUCAAGUUAAAAUUCAAAUCACGUGUAUAGCAACAUUUUCUCCUAAUGGAGGUCUACCAGCUAAUAACCGUUUGCUACCUUUUGUUAUACCUGCACUUCGUCGAGCUAUUGUGACGAUGACCCAUAUGAAGUAUUACACAGGUUUAAUAAGCUUAAUACAUUUUCAAAUUUGCUGCUAUCAUUUGAUUCUGAGCUGGAACUUGCUUCUACUUUUAAAAAUGGAUCAUAAAAUGACUUAUCCAAGACUUGUUCUCCAAAGGCAACUUUAGCUAUAUUAAAACGGUCUGUAGCAGUUAUAGAAGGAAAAUUAUCAGAUUUAAUAUUAAAAAAUUGAAAAAUAGCAUACUGAUGUUUACAAAACUUUCCAGCCAAGGCACUAGAACAUGAACAAAGACCACAUUUAAUAUUAACAUAAUAUAAUAAUGUUUGUUCUUGUUCACUUGGCACUAAAAAUUCAUAGUCAUUUUCUUGUACAAUCAUACAAUUACAGCAAAUGGAUUUUCUUUGAAUAAAACAGUAAUGCCAUUUUUACUGUAUAUUUCUUGUUUUUCUUUUAGUUUCUAUAUUAAAAUUAAAAUAAUAAAGCUACAUUAAUAUGUAUGCUAACCUUACUUAUUUGUAUUAUCUGUAUCUAAUAUUAUGUAAGUAUACUAUUCUUUAUUGCUAUAAUUGGAUAUUUACCUCAAUUAAUCCAACACCACUACGUGGACCUAAAUUCAAACUUCUCCAACCAUCAUACCAAAAACGAACCGUACGAUAACAUGGAUUAAUGCCUCCAUUAGCAAAAUGUUCCAACGUGAAAUCCUCUUUUAACUCCAAUAAUUGUUCAUGAUAUUUUUGUGAUUCAGUUAUACCCAUUCCAGAAUCAAAAUACUCAUAAAACAUAUUUUUUAAAUCAUCACCAGCCGGAAUAAAUCUGAGACUUUCAGCAGAUUUUAUAGUAUGGGUAUGAUGAUUAUAUAUUUCUAUACAACAUACUAAACCUUUCUGUAAUAUAAAUAUUAAAUAUCUAUUUAUUGUAAAGCUUGUAUUAUUAUUGCUUAUUACCAAUUGUUAAGUACAUAUUAAGUGUUGUUAAUUUUAAUUUUUUAAAUCACAUCAUUAAAGUAUAAUAUACAGUGGAAAAUAUUGUGGAUGUAUUGUUUACAAUACUAUACCAGAAACAGUGUAAUACAAUACCAGAAACAGUGUAAUACAAUAUAGUCUGUAUUAUUUGUUAGUAAAUAAUGAACACAAAUUUAAAGUACCAAUUUAUUUUUAUCAGACAGACAUAACAUAAAUUGUUUACAUUUUAAAAUCUUAGAAAUGUUAUGGUCUUAUUUUACUAUGACUUGUCAAUCAAUCUGUAAAAAUGUAGAAUUCAUUUUUAUUUCACAAAUUAAACUAAGUACAUUAAAAUAAUCACAAUCCAAACAUGUAAUUCACAUUUGUUUCCAUAAAACCAAAUUUCUGUAAUAUAAAUAUUAAAUAUUUAUUGUUAACUAAUGUAUGAAUUAUUGUAUUAUUAUUACUAUUUUUAAACUUAUAUUUUUAUUUUCAAAUAUUAUGUUACAUGUAAUUGAAUAAUACAAUGAAUUUGAUAUUUGUAUUAAGUGUUGUUAAUUAUUAAAUCACAUCAUUGAUUGAUAAAUGUAACGUUAAUACCAUAGAGAAUGUAUAGUUUGUUAAUAAAUAAUGAACACACAUUAAAAGUAAUUAUUUAAUACAUUUAUUUUAUAAAUUGUUUAUACUUUAAAAUCAUACAAGUGUUAUGGAUUAAUUUUACAACGACUUAACUUUUGUAUUAUUACCCAUUGACCAAUCUGUAAAAAUGUAGAAUUAAUUUUUAUUUUACAAAUAUAACACUUAUUAGGAACCUGUGAAAAAAAACUAUUUAUUUUUAUUAGUCAGACAUAAUUUAAAUUGUUUAUGUUUUAAGAGCUUGCAAGUGUUAUGGCUUAACUUUACAACGACUUAACUUUUUGUAUUAUUACCCAUUGACAAAUCUGUAAAAAUGUAGAAUUAAUUUUUUUUUACAAAUAUAACAAUUAGGUAUUAGGAACCUGUAAAAAGAACUCAUUACAAAAAUGAAUUUACAAGAUAUACUCACAAUAAAUU
rnacentral:lncRNA from 1 species